GUCGAACCCUGAGACACGAUCGCUUGACUGAGGCAAAUCACUCUUCGUCGAAAAAUCGCAAGAUUUCUAGACGACACCAGCGAUUAACGAUACAAAAUCAAAUUAUCUUAUCGUAUAUUAUUUUACAUCGAUCUUGGUAAGUUGUCCAUUUCAUUUUAUCCAAUACGACGAAUCUGGAUGUGGUGAGGCAAAACGGGCGAUCUACGAAACCGUGUAUUCUGGAAAGUUUCCCUCUAGAUCGUUCCGUUCAGUAUAGAGACUCAAGGUAUCGAAAAUUAACAUUACUAAAUAAAAUUCCGAUUCACACGCAAAGACGGCCCCACGAAACCGUGGCUCUGGUAAUUUACCCUCUGGGACCGUUAUCAGGGAGACAUUACAUCAAUCCAGACGAAUCCUUUUACAAUUAUUUAUUUACUUUAGAAAACAUCUUUUUUCAAAUGCACAUUCUAUUUUACCUCGCACCCAUGUAGGUAAAGAUAUGUAUCAUUUAUGUAGAAAUGUAACUGGUUUUAUUCACCCUUGCGACAAUUUUCCUCUAGAAUAUUUAUUAAAGUUAUUUAUUAGAUUAAGAAUUUAUUAUACAGCAAUAGGGAUUUUAAAACUUGCAUUAGAAAAGAUAGGAAACUGCAUAUUGUAUUACAUUUUUUUGAUCUUUGGCGUGGUCGAAAGCGUUCGGUGGGCAACAUAGAAACAGAAACGUCUCCAAAAAUGCCAGCCCUUAUGGGCGAAAUUCGUGGUAUGGUAUGGUAUGGUAAACGCCAUAACUUCCAUUUCAUUUCGACAGGAACAACAAAAUGGUUACCAGAAAUGAGAAGUAGAUAUUCUACGAUAUCCCCAGCAACAGGUAGUGGAUAAACAUUGGAGAUAUGACUGUGCACGGUGCAAAACUAAAAUUGCACUCAAAGAAGAGCAUGUGCAUGCGGAGGGAUAGGAAAAGGGAUCUUUUAUCCAGAACUGCUUUCACUGAAUCAAACCGUCGCAGUAAACCCUUAUUCAAGGCAACUCGACUGUUUAAGCCUUGCUUUGAAAACUAAACCGCUCAGCCUGGUAAACAAAGGAGACAUAAUCUUUCAGUAUAACAGAGAUCCUCUAUCAUAGAUGUCACCCUUCAAAAGGUGAAGCAACUAGAGUGAACGCAGGCAAUCUGAUUAUUUGGUAUCUUUUUGAACAGAAAAAAAGAGAUCUCAUGAAUGAUUUGUACCUUUGAUUAUACAAUGAAAUUGGUGGAGAAAUAAAUUUAAUGACGAUUGUGUUCUAACAAACAAAUAUUGAAAGAACACGUGUGCACAAGUAUUACGUAAUUCUGUGUGCUCGAAAUCAACGUGACCAAUGUAUUUACAAUUUCACUGUGCGACGAACACCGAUCUGUAACAGGGCAAAACAAACAAGCCCUUUAUCCGACUAACCAGUUCCCGUAAUGCUUUGCAAGUUACAUCAAUAGCAAGCCUGUUGAAAAGCUCUCCGGUUAAGUGUUCCCAUUUAACGUUGAAAUUGAUGUCAGCCAUUGAAAAUCAACACCAAUGUUCAUCAUCACUGGCAAUGACAUUGUACUAUUUUGAAAAUAAUUCAAAUAUUUAGCCUUUCAAUUACACAUUGAAAAAUGGUAUAAAUAUUUUAAGAAGAUUUAAAUAUUGAAGGAAUUUCAAAUUUUGUAUACUGUAGUCCAUGUUACGUUAAUAGGAUUUUAGCUUAUGAAUUCAUGUCGCGUACGUCCAUCAAUAAUAAAGAGACAUUCUGUUUGACGGGACCAGAAAUGGUUGGUGAGACUAUUGAAGUUAGACGAUUAACCUGGGAAACAUACACAAUAACUUUCUAGCAAGUCCUCGACCAUUCAUUUCUCUAUAUAGGGUGACAGGAACACAGGUGGUAAAAUUUUGGUAGCGUAUAUUCAUCCUGUAGAUGUAAAAAGAUGAUGUAAAUAUAAAAUGCCAUAGAUCGUCUAUUUUAUUAAUUA